UGCCAUAUGAACCCUUAUCAUUCUCGAGUCUUGUGAAUAUUUGACCCGACUGGACGGAGAACUGAUAAGGGCUUGUGGGCAA
rnacentral:pre_miRNA from 19 species